AAAUUACUUGCAGAGGUAGUUGUCCUCAAAGGGAAACUGGUGAGUGAUUUUCCUACYUCAUAUGGAGAAGACAGAAACAUGCAAGAUCUUUGACAARGCGCUACGGCAGUCCGAARUAAAAUGGACCUCAGAACAUCGAGUGCUUUUUUAGAAAACACAGCUUCCUAAAGCCAAGAUGAAGCUCAGCUGUGUGCAACUCCAGGAGAGCCUCGCGGAGCUCCCUGUGCCCCAGGACCAGGAUGAGGUGCCAGGGCCACCUGGGAGCUCCCUGCAUCCCAGAACCAGGGCCACCCUGGCGCUCCCCGCAUCCUGCGGCUGGAGAAAGGUGCUGGGGCCACCCACUAUAGUGCUGCUGUAGUCUGCAGUUCCCAUGUGGCCCUGCUGGGAAGACUUCCAACCUGCACUACUGCCUGUCUCCARGAGCUGCCGGAAGGGUCAAGCAGAGGCAAAAUUCACACUUCACGGAAUCUGAACAUUGGUAGCUGGCCAGGAAUAUUCACAAGCUGAGAAGUUCUCAGAACUGGAUUCAGAUCUGGGCUGCUCUUCAGUCCUUCAGUACUGCCUACUAUCACUGCUUUGAGUCAGUUCCCUUUACAACUGGGUUAAUAACGUAGCAGAGUUAGGGGAAUAACAGAUGUUUUGUCAAAAUGGCAAAAAGGGAUGCAGAAAUACUUCACAAACUCCCAAAUAAUCUAAUUUAAACGGAUCUAAUUUAAAUCACAAAGAGCAGAGCAAUGUGGAUAUUUCUGUUACCGUGCAGGCAAUGCUGAAGGAUCCUCCCCAGUUUAUCUGCCARAGGACAA